UUAUCAAAAACAUGUCUUUUUGUAUUUUAUUUAAAGUCUAACCUGCCCAUUGAAAAUUUUUAAAAGGCUGCAGUAUUUUAACUGUACAAAGGUAGCAUAAUCAUUAGUUUUUUAAUUGAAAACUUGUAUGAAUGGUUUAACGAGAUAUUAGCUGUUUUAUAAAAAUUUAUAUAGAAUUUAAUUUUUAAAUCAAAAAGUUUAAAUAUAAUUAAAAGACGAGAAGACCCUAUAGAGUUUUAUAAUAAUAAAUUUAUAAAUUUUAUAUAAUUUUUUUAUUUUUAAUUUUAUUAUUAUUUUGUUGGGGUGACAGUAAAAUUUAAAAAACUUUUAUUUUUUUAUAAACAAAAAUUUUUGUAUUUUUGAUCCAGUUAUAUUGAUUAUAAGAUUAAAUUACCUUAGGGAUAACAGCGUAAUUUUUUUGUAGAGUUCUUAUCGAUAAAAAAUUUUGCGACCUCGAUGUUGGAUUAAGAUAAAUUUUAGAUGUAGCAGUUUAAAUAUUAGGUCUGUUCGACCUUUAAUUUCUUACGUGAUCUGAGU
rnacentral:rRNA from 1 species